UGGAUGACCAUACCUUAUUUUGACAGUUUCCUCUAAUGGACACGUGGGUUGCUUCCAUUAUUUACCUUUUAUAUACAAUGUUGCAAUGUAUUUCCUGGAGCGCAGAUCAUUUGUCAUGUGUUCAGUAAAGGGUCUGUAGGAUACAUUUCCAGCAGAAUAAUUAGGAGGGCAAAGGAUGUGUACAUCUUUUAUUUUAGUAACAGUUUCCCAACACCUCCCAAGGAGGUUAAACCAGUUUAACUCCCCUCUCACCCACCCACCAAGGCCAUGUCUGAGAGCCUGCUGCCCCACAUUUUGCAAAGACAGUGUUAUCAGACUUUCAUAUCUAUGAAUCUGAUAACUGAAAACAAGAUAUCUCAUAUAAUUUAUAUUUGCAUUUUGCUUAUAAUGCCUAGGUCAAGAAUCUUGUCUUAUACAGCCUUUCGAACCUAAUCCACAGGAUUUGUUUGCAAUUUGCUAAAGGGAUUUUGUUUUAUAUUUCUUUUUAUCGCAUAGAGUAUUUGCAUACAGUGGAAGAUCAAGAAACACUUGAAGAUGAAUUGCCACACCUGGACACAAACCCCCACCCCCUCUGAGCCUCACCCUCACCUCCUGAGGCUACAAGUACAGAAUGACAAUGAGAAAUCUGAAAUGUGCUUUAAGAUGCAUAGCAAAUGGAACUGGACAGCAGGUGGGGUCAGAUCUGCUAGAAAGCAUAGGGUUGUUUUGCCUAAAUUUUCAGAGAUAUUUUUAUUGGCUGCUGGGGCUCUAGAUUGAAGGACCUACGGAACUUUAUACAAGCUAAUUCAUAAAUGAAUUCUAUAUUUAUGCUAAUGUAAUAUUAGGAUGUAUCACACUAAUUGACAGGAGACACUGCCUAAACUUAGUUUUUAGAAGUCAUUCGAUCCCAAGAGCAAAAUAUUUUUUAACAAAAUUGAUAAUUGCACAAUUACUUGUUGAACAUUUCAAAGUUUACAUGUGUAUAUAUUAUAUGUAUGUUACCGAUGGGCAGACGUAGCUAUAUAUACAUCAAAAUGUAAAGGGCACUUAACCUAGACAAUGAGAUGUUCAUUGCAACACUAGCAUUCUUUGGAAAAGUAUUUACAUGAAUUUACAAAUGCCCUGGACCUCUCUUGAUCCAAAAACAAGUCCAGGGGAAAAUAGAAGCUUCGUAUUUUGAAAAAUGCAUGGAACUCGGGCUGAUAAAAAACCUUUCAUGCAUUCAUGAAUGCUAACUAGGAAGAUAAUUGGGAACAUUCCAGAUGUUUAUUCCUCUCUCGCCCUCUCUCUCUCUUUGCCCCCCUCCUUUGGGUGCUCCUAGAUAACCAAGAUGGAACUUGGAAACCUCUUUUCUGAAGCUGUCCCAUUGUAUAUGGUAAGUUACAGUGAACUCAAGACUGAUCCCUCCACAAAAGUCCUUUGUCUGGGGACUGCCUCUAUAAACUGGGACUCAGUGAAUUAUGCUCCUUCUAGGAAGCUUUCUUUAGCUGAUUAUAUUUACCUAAGCAAGCAUUAUUUUCUGUCUUGUUUCCUUCUUUUUCUCAAGCAUGAUUCAGAUCUCAGGAAAACAUGAAGAAGAUAAGGAAAUGGCCAUUUAAACAACAAGGUAUUUCUGGCUUUGCUUCUCUACUUUGGAAACGAUCGAGGUGUUUUUGUAACAAGCACGUGCCAGUUUUUGGAAAAUGUUAUUUUUCAAUAGAAUCCGCCCCCCUCGAGGUCCUGGGACUGUAGGCUACAAAAGGCAUGAAACAUCCUGAUUUUGACAUGUUUUUCUUCUCUGUUGUUUCUGUUCACUUCUGGUUUAAUUUAGUUUUAUUUCAGUAGUUGGGGGGUAGGCGAAAGAGAGAUGAAACCAGCCGUUUCCUAUUCGUUUUAAUUCUAGAAUAAGAUCUUUAUUAUUUUUUAAAUGAGAUGGUGAGGGGAAUGGUUUAAGGGCAAAAUUACAAAGAUUUGCAUGCAGGGUCCUCUCUUUAAAGAAAACUGGUGGGACCUUUAAGAAAAAAAACUGAGCCACAUAAAAUGAGAGCAGUAAAGGGCAAAUGGCAAUAAAGGGACAUGGGGAUGUGUGUGUGUCCUGUGAGGAUGAAACCGUCCCUCUCCUUCCGUGAAAAGCAGCCUUCUUUUCAUGGGAAACCAAGCCACUGGGUUAUUAGAUUCACAAUGAGUUCCCCAGAUGCAGUGCCCAUGAGUAAAGGUUCUCAGGGGAAUAAAGAGAACCCUAGAGGCUUCUGUUUGUUUUGUUUUGUUCUUGUUUUAGUAAAGUUCUGAAUAGUAAUGCUUCCAAGUGCUUCACAAAGCAGAGUGGAGCGCACAGUGCAAAGUCUCUCUUGACUACCGUCCUGCAGUCACCUGUGUCCCUUCUCAGAGUCCACCCCUUCCAGUUUAUUCUGGGUGGUGUGAUUUCCAGAGAUGUGCAUGUAUCAUUAGUAAAUAUUAAUAUAUGUGCCCCAGCCACCCUGUUUUCUACAAGGUAUCCAUCCAUGCCUUACAGUUUGGGCACAUUUUCCCAUGGAUGGAUGACCCAUUGAUCUUGGCCGCUGUUCCAUCUCAAUACACAGAGAACUCAUCCAUCUUUUCCACGGCUGCAUACUGUUCCACUGUCAGUGCUCCAUAACCUAUGUAACCGUUCCCAACCGAUGGGCGUUUAGGUUGCCUUUGAUCUUCUGCUGUUACAAACAGUGCUCCCUUGGCUAAUCUCGGUUGGACAUCAUCUCACACACGUGUGAGGAGUUCUACAGGGGCGUCCCUCCCAGGGGAAACGGUAGGUCAAAGCGUUUCUUAUUAGCCCGUCGUAGGUGGAGAGGGAAGACUUGAGCUGUUCCUGUCCAUCACAUGGCUGGUUUUCAUGCUUUCUGUUUCACACUAUCUUACUACUGAAAUUCGGAUUACCCAAAUCAUACGUUAACAAGUUCUCCCUGUAGCUUAAACUUAUAAAUAAACCAUCCCGAAGGAUACAGGGUAAAGCGCCACUGUCCCCCUGGACCUCCCCACCCCCUCCCCUUCACCACCAUUCUCCUUCUCAAAAUUAACCACUGUGCGUUUGUAUGUGUAGUUCCAGACCUGUCUGUGUCCCCUCAUUUCUAUCCAGACACAUAUUCUUAGGAGCAUCUUGAUAGAUGCAUGUAUAGAUACAGACCGAUAUGUACAUAGAUACAACACGCAAACAGGUGUUCCGUGUGUGUCUAUAAAUGUAGAAGCUUACGGUAGUGCUUGUCAAAUUUUUAUGCACUAAAGACUCAUCUACGGAUUUUGUUAAAAUGAGGCAUGUGAUUCAGUGUGUCUGCAGUGAGAUCUGAGCUUCCCCAUGUAUGACAAGCUCCCAGAGGAGCUGGGAUUGGGUUUCUUUUUGGUUUAGAUUUGUUUUGGUUUUUUGUAAAUGGACUCAUAUCUACUUAUGUUCUGAAACUUGCCUCUUCCUCCCUUGCCGGCUCAUUUGGGAAGAUAAUGUGGAUAAGGACUCUCGAACCCGAUGAACAGUAUGUGCGUGUAUCUAUCUAUCAUCUAUCUGUCUGUAUAUCUAUCUAUCUAUCUAUCAUUAACUUUUAGGAAAGAAAAUUCCCUUUCAUUGCUUUUUCCAUCUGGAAAGCCUCUGAGACCUUCCCAAACUGAUUGCAUUGGAUUUAAAAUAUCAGUGGUGAUAUUAGAAGCAGUUUUGAUUUGCUAAGGAAAGUGUGCCUCAAAUGACACCAGAAUUGUUACUGAUCUGUUCAUGAUCAUAUCCUGGCACCAAUAGCAAGUCUUUUGAAAAUGCAACAGGCAAGAGAAAAGAGGAGUUCCUGUCUCGGCGCAGUGGUUAACGAAUCCGACUAGGAACCAUGAGGUUGCGGGUUCGAUCCCUGGCCUUGCUCAGUGGGUUAAGGAUCCAGCGUUACUGUGAGCCGGGUGUAGGUUGCAGACGCGGCUCGGAUCCCGCGUUGCUGUGGCUCUGGCGUAGGCCAGGGCUGCAGCUCCAAUUAGACCCCUAGCCUGGGAACCUCAUAUGUUGCGGGAGUGGCCC
rnacentral:lncRNA from 1 species